rnacentral:rRNA from 1 species
AUUGAACGCUGGCGGCAUGCCUUACACAUGCAAGUCGAACGGCAGCGCGGGAGCAAUCCUGGCGGCGAGUGGCGAACGGGUGAGUAAUAUAUCGGAACGUGCCCAGUAGUGGGGGAUAGCCCGGCGAAAGCCGGAUUAAUACCGCAUACGACCUACGGGUGAAAGGGGGGGAUCGCAAGACCUCUCGCUAUUGGAGCGGCCGAUAUCAGAUUAGGUAGUUGGUGGGGUAAAGGCCUACCAAGCCUGCGAUCUGUAGUUGGUCUGAGAGGACGACCAGCCACACUGGGACUGAGACACGGCCCAGACUCCUACGGGAGGCAGCAGUGGGGAAUUUUGGACAAUGGGCGCAAGCCUGAUCCAGCAAUGCCGCGUGCAGGAAGAAGGCCUUCGGGUUGUAAACUGCUUUUGUCAGGGAGGAAAUCCUCUGGGUUAAUACCUCGGGGGGAUGACGGUACCUGAAGAAUAAGCACCGGCUAACUACGUGCCAGCCGCCGCCGUAAGAC